GGCAAGAAAAAGAAGAUGGCUGCAAUUCAGCGGGUGUCGAUUGGGUCCUGCAGAUGUUUACAGUCAGUAGGCUUGUUGCAAGCAGCCGACUCUUGCCAUUCGUAACCUUUCUCUAGCAAAUAAGGUUUUUGAUUUACAUUUAAAACACAGAAGUUUUCCUUGCAGGACACUUUGUUUUAGUCUCAGGCAAAGAGGAUGUUUCUACUCACAGAACAGCUAUGGUAAUCUUGUUUUAUUUGCAUAACCCUAUGUGUUAAGGACCCUUAGAGUGCAGAAUUGCAUUUUUAUGUUAUUUGUCCUCUUCUUAAUAUGCACAUACAUCUGUCGCAUAUUCGUCAAUGUAAUGCUGACAAUGACAAAUAAUCACUUAUCCUCAAAGCUCCUUAUCAG